rnacentral:tRNA from 3 species
GGACUUGUAGCUCAGCAGGUUAGAGCAACAGACUCAUAAUCUGGAGGUCCUAGGUUCAAGCCCUAGCUGGUCCA